rnacentral:misc_RNA from 1 species
UUUUCUUUUUUUUUUUUUUUUCAAGUUUUUAUUGAUUCAUUUGAAUUUUCAGUGAUUUGGUAAUUUAUAAAUCUUGCAGCAACACAAUAUUUACAACAAUGUAGGAAAACAUAACAUGGAUAUGUCACGUCUUAACGACUGUCACUGUCAAAUUUGUCAAAAAAAAAUUUUUAUCUAAAAGUCAACGUUUUUACAGAAAUUCAUGUGUUUAAUACAUAAGGACAACUUUGCACAGCAAUGUGUAAAAAGGGAGUGAAGA